rnacentral:rRNA from 1 species
UACAGAGGGUGCGAGCGUUGUUCGGAUUUACUGGGCGUAAAGGGCGCGCAGGCGGCGCAUUUUGUCAGGCCGUGAAAGCCCCGGGCUUAACCGGGGAACUGCGUCUGAUACUGGAUGGCUUGAGUUUGGGAGAGGGAUGCGGAAAUUCCAGGUGUAGCGGUGAAAUGCGUAGAUAUCUGGAGGAACACCGGUGGCGAAGGCGGCAUCCUGGACCGGCAUUGACGCUGAGGCGG